CAGCAGCCGCGGUAAUACGGAGGAUCCGAGCGUUAUCCGGAUUUAUUGGGUUUGAAGGGAGCGUAGGCGGGUUGUUAAGUCAGUUGUGAAAGUUUGCGGCUCAACCGUAAAAUUGCAGUUGAUACUGGCGACCUUGAGUGCAACAGAGGUAGGCGGAAUUCGUGGUGUAGCGGUGAAAUGCUUAGAUAUCACGAAGAACUCCGAUUGCGAAGGCAGCUUACUGGAUUGUAACUGACGCUGAUGCUCGAAAGUGUGGGUAUCAAACAGGAUUAGAUACCCUGGUAGUCCACACAGUAAACGAUGAAUACUCGCUGUUUGCGAUAUACAGUAAGCGGCCAAGCGAAAGCGUUAAGUAUUCCACCUGGGGAGU
rnacentral:rRNA from 1 species